UGGCUGCACCAAUUUACAUUCCCAGCAAAAGUGCACGAGUGUUCCUUUUUCUCCACAUCCUCAGCAACACGUCUUUUUGAUAACGGCCAUCCUAACAGCCUUUCUGAAGACCUUGAUUUGUAUUUUAAGCAGUAACUGCACUCUAGCAAGCAGCUAGUUGUCAGCGUUAUCUUCAUUUCUGCAAGACAGACCAGAUUCUUGGAGACAUAAGUGUCUUACCUCCUGGCCAGACCUGGCCACUUAGCCUGCGGAAGCGUCGGGACUCCUGACCGGUCUCCCAUGCUUAUUUGGAGGAAACAGGUCCACUCUUCUGACCAUCCUUGAUUUGUUACAGGCACGUGCUCCAAAGAUGUCUAGGAGGAAAUUCAGAUUAAAACUGAUCAUUCUCUUGAGUGUGCAACAUUGUUCUUAGAUAUUCUCAGUUUAUGAAAAAUUAUGUGGUUCAUGACAUCCCAGAGAAACCAGCCUUGGAAAUGAAGAUGUCCUGGUCUCACUCCUCAGAUAACACAAAAAGCUGUAUUCAUUUGUGGUCAGAACAUGGAAUAAUUUCUGUAAAUCCUUCAAACUUCUCAUCUCACUCUUUUAAUUCCAAUUUAUACUUUCAUUACUAAGAUAUCCCAUUAGUAAAGUCCAUCUGAAUGUUGACUAUGUUCUAUAGAAAAGAAAUAGUAGUUAUAUCCAUAAGAAACAAAAUAAUUCU
rnacentral:lncRNA from 1 species